rnacentral:lncRNA from 1 species
CUUCUUGGAACCUAAGAAAAGAGCAGAACCUCCCCAUUCUCUUCUCUUCAACACCCUAGAAAGGACCCCCCCCCCCCCAGAUUUUCGUCUCCUUCACACGACCUCUCCUUCAUCGGUCUGUUUUCUUCUUCUCCAAAUCCUCUCACCAACCUAACGACCCUAGAGAUAGAAAAACAGUAGCAAUUGCAGCAUCUUCAACUCCUCUCACCAACCAGUGGCGAACUCGCCGGAAAAUACAUAGCCAAAACUCGCCAUCACCCUAGCUCCUUCAUCGCCUUCAACUAGACCGAUAACUCAUUUUAGUUUAAAACUAACGAGUCUCUGCCAAAGCUGGUCGAACGGGUGAAAUCCGGUGAGAGAUCUGGUGAGUGUCGGGGUCUUGUCGUAAUUCUGUUGAGGUUUCCGGCGAAGCUCUGAUCUUACAGUUCGAGGACGUCAUCUGGUCAACGUUUUCAGGAAUUGUUGAGAUUGUAAAUGUUCGAUCUUCUUUCAGAUUAUAUGUAAGUGUUUGAAUCCGUAAUCCGUUUGUCUUGGUUGGAAUUAUCUUAUAGGUUUUGAUUAGUUAUUUCAUUACUACUACUUCUUCGGUUUUGUUUUGCUCUACUAUUUUGUUUGAAUACUUGGUUUGGUAUUAUUUCACUUGAGGUUGUGCUUAAUUCUGAAAGGAGGUGUUCACACUCGUUAGCACAGCGGCAAUAUCUCUUCUCUUUCUUGUUUUCAUGGUUUUUUUUGGAGUUUAGAACUUUGACGAAGUUGGAUCCUGCUCUGUUUUUCUUCUUUUAUUUUCUGGAUAAAAGCAAAUAUGUCCACUACAAGAAACUUAACGCUACUUAAAUGUCCUUUUCUUGUGACAAUGUUCUUUUCAUUAUACUUGUAAAUUUGGAUAUUACAGUAUCCUUUAGCAUUAUUUGGUUGGACAUUUAGGUCAAUGAUACAGCAGGAAACUCAGUCAUAUGGUGUUGGCAGAGCUGAGUUACAAGUUUGGCAAUAGAAUAUUAUGAAAAGGAGUGCAAUGUUUUGUUUUGGGUUUAAUAGGCCGCUAAAUUUAAUUUAAUUUAGUUCAUGUAGAUUGAGGUGUGCCAUCAAAAUUAACCCAUGGCCCUCGUAUUUUAUAACUUAGUUACUAAAAUGAAUCUCGUCGUUUGCUUUAGGUGCGCAAUAGAACUAUUACAACAACGGUUACGGUUCCCGUGACGUGGGUGUGAUACUUAGUUUUUUAGAUGUAAGUAGGAGUAUUAAAGUUUGCCUUAGCUAAAUACAAUUCUUUUCCUAAGAUAAAUUGAGGAGCAUCAUACACAAAUAAAAUCCAUUAUGUACGGCCCUCACAUAAAUACAAAAUUACUCUAAAACAAAAUGCCUUGAACUCUCGUAGUUUGCUUUAGGCGCGUUUAAUUAAAUAAACUGUCAUAGAUGCGGGUAUGGUUCCCGUGACGCAGUUGUGAUGCUUAAUUUCUAAAAUCCGGGGCUACAUUUAUGUGACCGGACACAACUUAAUCUUGUUAAUAAAAUAAAUACGUUAUGGAUUGUGGGUGCGGUUCCCGUGACACGAUUCACAAUGUGUAACCAAAGUAAUUAGUUGAAUAAUAAUCGGAUCAUUAAAAGCGGUUUUAAAAGGAAUAAAAAUGCACAUAGGUUUCAAAUAUGUUUUAAAAUCAAAUAAAUAGGACAAUAAUAACAGUUGAGUGAUCGUGCUAAAACCACGGAAUCCAGGAAUGCCUAACACAUUCUCCCGGGUUAAUAGAAUUCCUUACCUGAAUUUCUGUGUUCGCGGACUAUAAAACAAAGUCAAUUUUUCCUCGAUUCAGGAUUCUAAUCCGGUGACUUGGGACACCAUAAAUUAUCCCAAGUGGCGACUUUUAUUUUAAUAAAUAAUCAUGUUUCGGUUGUUACUUAAAUUGGAAAAAACUCUCUUACACCCUUCCGGGGAUAGGAAAAAGGAGGUGUGACAGCAUCCUUCACACUAGACACACCAUCCAUAGGGACUUUGAGAAUAUCCCCAAGCAAACUCACUUCAAACACAAUGUCCACAUUAUUCACCAAGGCACAGAUAUGGUCGGUAUCAACGGGGAAGAGGCUGGCAUAAAAGCUUUGAACCUCGUCCUCAUACACUCUAGGUGCAUCCAUUUGAAACAGAUGCCCCCAUCGUUGGAAAUCAACCAUUGCAUGAACUUGCCGCAUACCAGCCAUAUCAGAGAUCGCUCUGUCAAAAGUACGACCCAGCAGAACCUUUUGGUGCCUUAGGCAUUCUGAAGUAGAACUACUUUCACUCCUCAGCUUUUUCACAGAACCAGGAUCCUUAACGGUUUUAGACUUACGUUUGCCAAACUUAACACCACUUGAUUUUGCUUUUCCCUUACACUUGACUAACACACCCUCAUCAAAAACGGAGAGCUCACUCUCAACAUCCUUCAACUUGGAACUGGGGUUGUAACAUUUUCUAUGGAAGCAGAUGCCUUCUUCUUUUGGGACCUUCUUACUAUGGAACUAGGUUCCUCAGUUGGUUCCUCUUCAAACUCCACCACUGGAACAUCCUUAUUACACACUAUCACAUUGUCUUUCACCAAUCUCCUCCUUUGCUUCUUACUACUUUUUUUCCUCUUUUGAAGGGUAGAGUCAUAGGCUACCUUUGCUUGCAACCUGGUAGUAGGUCGCUUGGUAGAAGACUUAGGAGUGGACACCACCCUUCGCUUGACUAUGAAAGCAUCAAGAGCCAGGUUGUCUAGAUCCUCCUCAUCGCUAGACCUCAUCUCAAGGACUUGAAUGUCCAAGGGCGCAAUAGCAAAUGCAGGAGCAGAACUGGUCUGGGAGUGAGAACCCUGACCUGGGUCCUCCGGAGAGAGGUUAGGUCCCUCACGUGAGGGCCCAGUAGUUUCUGCUAGUGCAGAGCCCUUAACAGUCACUAUGGCUCCUUCUAUCCCCAUACCCUGUAUCUCAUUUUUCUGAGAAAUUAUCUCAUGCAGGAUGCCGUCAGCAGAUACCACAAAGAUGGUUACGACAUUUUUUUCCUCAAUAGGCUCUACUGCCACCGCAGAAUCUAUAAAAACAAUGGCGGAAACCUCUGUGACCUUAGGACUUUGACCUUGUUCUCCACUUUUUCUUUGAUCGAUGGGAACCUCAGAAGAUAGAGAUGACGGAUCAACAAUUUUUGCGGUUUUUGGUAUGGAGAGAGACGGGCAAUCUGGGUUAGGGGUGAUUUCAUCGGUGAGAGCAGGAGUGGUUAUAGAUGACUCAGUAGGGACGAAGGACUCUAUGGUUUUUUCAGUAUUACGGACGAUUGAGGCAGGGAUUUUGGAGUUUGUGUCAGCCAUUGAAGAGAUGGAGAGAAGGUGAUUUGGAGAAGUUCUAAUGGAGGACUUAUGGUUUGUGGAGAAAAGAGAAGGGUUUUAUUAAGAGUGGAUAAUUAUGAAGAGAGAGAUAGGAACCGGUUCUGAAAUGACAGUUGUGCUUGGAGAAGUGCAACAUUGCAGAGGGAGAUGGAACUAUCUGAAAUGAAGAGACGUGACAGCAGGGUCUGAAAAGUGGAUGACAUAGCAGUUGAUUUUUGUAUCUUUUCAAGACGUGUAUUAAAAAAUGCACAGAACUACUAAUCUUUGGUACAAGAACUAGGUUCUUGACCUGUUAUUUGAAAAUAUCAAUCCUUUUAUAUCAUCCAUGCACUGUAUCUACAGCUUCUAUACUCAGCAUGCAUGUUUACCUGUAACGGUAUUGAAGUGAGUUAGACUUGGCCAGAAAACACUUUAGCUAGUUUUACCUGAAGGUGAUUUUCAUAGCCAAUUGAUGAGGAAUCAGGUGCUCAAUUGGGCUUCAAAAGCCUCAGCUUCACCCUGUUUCUUUCAAAAUGUUCCCUACUCAAUGCUUUGGUGAAGAUAUCUGCAAUUUGGUCUUCUGUGAUGCAGAACUUCAUGCAUAUCAACCUUUUCUCCACAUUGUCCCUCAGAAAAUGAUGUCUCAUAUCAAUGUGCUUGGUUCUUUUGUGUUGAACUGGAUUCUUAGCCAUGUUAAAUGCACUGGUGUUAUCACAUAGAAGAGGCACAUACUCAGUGAACACCCCAAAAUCCUCUAGUUGAUGCUUAAUCCAUAGGAGUUGAGCACAGCAGGAUGCUCCAGCUACAUAUUCUGCUUCAGCUGUUGAAAGAGCCACUGAGUUUUGCUUCCUUUUGCCCCAAGAGAUGAGACAUGAUCCUAGAAAGUGAGCCAUUCCAGAAGUGCUUUUCCUGUCCACAAGAUAACCUGCAUAGCCAGCAUCAUCAUAUCCAAUGAGAUUAAAACUAUCACCUGAGAGGUAAUACAGGGCCAGGUCUCGUGUACCCUUAAGGUAUCUCAAAAUUCUUUUGGCAACCUUCAAAUGAGAUUCCUUGGGAUCUUAUUGAAAUCUUACACAUAGCCCCACACUGAACAUAAUAUCGGGUCUACUAGUAGUGAGAUAGAGAAGAGACCCAAUAAUGCCUCUAUACAUAGUUUGAUUCACAGGAGAUCUAGUUUCAUCCAUGUCCAGCCGAGUAGCAGUUGCAAUGGGAGUGUCUAUCACUUUUGACACUUCCAUAUCAAACCUCUUCAAGAGCUCCUUGAUGUAUUUCUGCUGAAAAAAUGAAUGUACCCUGUGUGGACUGCUUCAAUUGAAGAUCCAAGAAGAAAUUCAGCUCCCCCAUCAUACUCAUUUCGAAUUCACUUCCCAUGAGUUUUGCAAAUUCUUCACACAGAGAGUCAGUUGUUGCCCCAAAAAUGAUAUCAUCAACAUAGACCUAAACAAUGAGCAGGUUCCUUCCCCGUUUCUUUAAAAACAAGGUGUUGUCAAUUUUUCCUCUUUUAAAGCCAUUUUCUAAGAGGAACUUUGACAGCCUUUCAUACCAAGCUCGAGGAGCCUACUUCAACCCAUACAAUGCUUUGUCCACUUUAAACACUGUUUAUGACAUUCAAGCCCUGGAGGUUGCUUCACAUAGACUUCUUCCUUAAGAAGUCCAUUCAGAAAUGCACUUUUAACAUCCAUUUGGAACAAGGUGAAUUCCAUAUGAGAUGCAAAAGCGAUUAGGAUUCUAAUAGCUUUCAUGCGAGCGACAGGAGAAAACGUUUCAUCAUAAUCAAUCCCUUCCUCCUGAUUGUAACCUUGAACUACUAGCCUGGCCUUGCUCCUUGUUGUGUUUCCAUGUUCAUCAAGCUUGUUCCUGAAUACUCACCUGGUUCCUAUAAUGGUUCGAUCUGAGGGUCUAGGUACCAGGUGCCAGACAUUAUUCCUUUCAAACUGAUGCAGCUCAUCUUGCAUGAUUGUAAUCCAAUAUGCAUCUUUCAGGGCUUCCUUGAUAUUUUUGGGUUCUAUUUGGGAGAGAAAGGCUGAGAAGGCAAGUGAAUUUCUGGCUUUUGACCUAGUUUAUACUCCAGAAUCUAGAAGAGUAAUUAUGUUGUCAAGAGGAUGAGAACUUUUAUGUUUCCAGUUAGGCAUUUGAGGUUCAUUUAUAGAGGGGGUGGGUAUGUUUAACUGGUUCUCUUGUGUUCUUCUCUCAGGUACUAGUGGAGUACCAUGUACUACAUCAACCACUAUUUCUUCAGCUUCAGUGGUUGUAAUUAAGGUACCGGGUUCCAUUGAAGAAGAGGCAGCAUUGUCUCCACUCAACUCUUUCACUUGGCUCAUCAUAUCUGCAUUUUCAUUUGUCAUGUCAAUGACUUCACCAGAAACCAGUAAGGCUCUCCAUCUUGAUCAUUUUUAGCAUUUUUAUCAUAGAAAGGAUAGGACUCAUCAAAGAUAACAUGAAAACUUUCCUCAACACAUUGAGUCCGCUUGUUGUAUAUAUUGUAAGCUUUGCUUUGAUAAGAAUACCCUAAAAAUAUUCCUUUAUCACUCUUGGCAUCAAAUUUGCAAAGCUGAUCAUUUUCAUUGUUGAGAACAUAACAUUUGCACCUAAAUGUUCUUAGGUGAGUCAUCUUGGGUUUUCUUCUAUUCAGCAACUCAUAGGGGGUUUUGUUCAGGAGAGAUCUGAUCAUGCACCUGUUCACCAAGUAGCAGGCAGUGUUGACCGCUUCGGCCCAGAAGUUCUUUGCAAUUCCACUAUCGAUCAACAUUGUUCUUACCAUUUCUUCA